CUCCCAUGUGUCAGCUCAUUAGUACCCAAAAAACAGAGAGAAAAUGACAAUGGGAAUCUUUCAUCUCAUCACUUAAAAAUUCAAUUCUUGAAAAUCCAAUGAGUGGUAAUAAUAUUACUGCUCCAAAUUCCACCGCAACCAAAUUCAUCAAAUGUGUCAUAGUUGGUGAUGGUGCAGUCGGGAAGACAUGCUGAUACGAGCUCCCCAUUGAUACCUGCUGUAACUGCAGAGGAACAGCAUGUACACAGAGAGGAGGAGGCAGAGUCGGAGGUGGUGCCGGAUGUAAGUGAAGCAGAGGCCGAUCAAGCUGCAGAAGCGGCCACGACGACGAGAUCAUUGAGGCCGAGAGACAAGUUGAAGCAGCCGAUUAAACUCAGGAAUUAAAGGAGCAAUGCCAAUAGUUAUUUUUGGAACUUUACUUAUUUAGAGUUAUUUUUGUUUUGAGACUUUUAUUUAAACUAUUUUGAGUCGGGCCAAAACUAUAAGCCACAUUUGAGUUUUCUUUGUGGUUCUUUCCCGAAUGUCUAGGUUAAGUCGAACCACCUAGGGUCCUUAGUCUAUAAAAUAGGGUAUUUCAUUGCCAUUAUUUUUUUAAUGAAACAUUUUUCCCCAAGCCUAACUUGAGCAAGAAGCGUGAAUUUUGUUUUCUCUCUUUGCUGUUCACGGAACACGUCCGGAAAACAGCAAAACUUGUGCACUUUUCAUUGAGCAUGUCGAAGGAUUGAGCAUCAUAACCAGCGAGACGAUUGCUAAUCGGAUACGUUGCGAAGAACGUUCGUAACACAUGCCUUCUCAUCUCCUACACUAGCAACACUUUCCCAACUGAUUAUGUUCCAACUGUGUUUGAUAAUUUCAGUGCCAAUGUGAGUGUUGAUGGGCAGACUGUGAAUCUGGGCUUAUAGGAUACUGCUGGCAUGUUCCAUUCAUUUAUUAAUAGUUUGGUUGGGUUUGCAUUGUAUGUUUGUUAAUUAACUUUGAUUCCCACUGAUUUAUCAAGAAAGUGUUUGAUGUAUUCUUUAAUUUUAAUAAAAAUCUGAUCUUGAAUGUUUGAUUUGCCAUCCAAAUCUUGAACUAUAACGCAUCCUUAGCCAUGUUUUAAACUUUAAAGUUGAUCAUAUAAAGAAAAAAGGCCUUUUCUUUUGCUAAAAGAUGGAGGGAUUCAUUAGCAGGGCAUGUGCAAGAACAAGGCCUUUUUUUCCUUUUCUUUUCUCUUUUGAUUUGUAAACUAAUUAUUUUCUCCAAAUUCUUGAUCAACUUAUGCAGGCCAAGAAAACUACAACAGAUUGAGGCCUCUUAGUUACAGAGGGGCAGAUGUAUUCCUCCUGGAUUUCUCUCUCAUAAGUUGGCCAAGCUUUGAAAACAUUUCCAAGAAAGUAAAACUCUCCCUUCAUCUCAAUCCAUUGGCAGCUACUAACUUUUUUUUUCAUGGAUUGGUUUUGCUUUCUUCUUGUUUGUGAUGGUGAAGUGGGUCCCGGAGUUGCGGCAUUAUGCUCCCUCAGUACCAAUUGUUCUUGUGGGGACAAAGCUAGGUGAGAGUUCUUGUGGGCAUUAUGCUCCCUCAGUACCCAUUGUUGCUUUGCUCUUUUUUUUUUGUAUUUUGGAUUGGUUCACACAUUUUUUUGAAAUGUUGAAUUGGAAAGCAAUUAGCCUGUUUACCUUUUCCUUUUCCUUUUCCUGUUAUGGAUUCCCAUUCUCUUCCUUUCUUUUCUUUGUAUGCUUACAUGUCUUUUGGAAAGAGACACAAAAUUUUGAUAA